GGCCUCCUGAGAGGAGGCCUUCGGGCUCGACCUCCACCCUUUGUGAACACAACUUGUUGCUUCGGGGGCGACCCUGCCGUUUCGACGGCGAGCGCCCCCGGAGGCCUUCAAACACUGCAUCUUUGCGUCGGAGUUUAAGUAAAUUAAACAAAACUUUCAACAACGGAUCUCUUGGUUCUGGCAUCGAUGAAGAACGCAGCGAAAUGCGAUAAGUAAUGUGAAUUGCAGAAUUCAGUGAAUCAUCGAAUCUUUGAACGCACAUUGCGCCCCUUGGUAUUCCGAGGGGCAUGCCUGUUCGAGCGUCAUUUCACCACUCAAGCCUCGCUUGGUAUUGGGCGCCGCGGUGUUCCGCGCGCCUCAAAGUCUCCGGCUGAGCUGUCCGUCUCUAAGCGUUGUGAUUUCAUUAAUCGCUUCGGAGCGCGGGCGGUCGCGGCCGUUAAAUCUUUCACAAGGUUGACCUCGGAUCAGGUAGGGAUACCCGCUGAACUUAAGCAUAUCAAAAGGCCGGAGGAAA
rnacentral:rRNA from 1 species